AUAUUAUAGGUAUAAAUCGAUCUCUGUAACUCUGUUAUCUCUGAAGCAGACUGUAAAGCUGAAAACUUUACAACCCCUUGUACACCAUGAACUCGUCAUUUGAAAAGGUCAUUGAAUACGUUUUACUUCUCGGGGUGCAAAUCUGUAGAGUAUUUUUUUUUACUUAUUAAUUUUAAAGAAGUUUAAUAAAAACUAGGCUUUUCCCAUUAACUAUUUUAGCUUUAAACCCUAAACAGGCUUGGCCGGCCCUAUAGUUUUUUUAGUCCUAGCACUUCCAUUUUUGUCAAUUAUUACCGUGAAAUUUUGUGACUUUUAAUGAAUAGUUAAUCUAAAGGAUUUGUUUGUCAAUUUUUUUUAAUGCAUAGGGUAGGGUACAUGGCGGUAAAAAGUCCGGUCUGUGUAAAAAAAAAAUAUGAAAUGGCCUAUAACUUGUUUGUUGCUGGCCCUCUGGAAACAGCUUUUCAGGAUUUUGUGGGGCAAUCUUUUCUUCUUGGUCUCAGUUACAUGGCUUUCCAUCAUAUCCAACAUCUAAUAUCAUUAUUUAGAAACAGUCAGAAACAACAAAAAUUAUAAAAAUUGUUUAAAUGAAUAUAAAUAAAAAUAAACUUUUCCGA